GACGAACGCUGGCGGCGUGCUUAACACAUGCAAGUCGAACGGAAAGGCCCUGCUUUUGUGGGGUGCUCGAGUGGCGAACGGGUGAGUAACACGUGAGUAACCUGCCCUUGACUUUGGGAUAACUUCAGGAAACUGGGGCUAAUACCGGAUAGGAGCUCCUGCUGCAUGGUGGGGGUUGGAAAGUUUCGGCGGUUGGGGAUGGACUCGCGGCUUAUCAGCUUGUUGGUGGGGUAGUGGCUUACCAAGGCUUUGACGGGUAGCCGGCCUGAGAGGGUGACCGGCCACAUUGGGACUGAGGUACGGACCAGACUCCUACGGGAGGCAGCAGUGGGGAAUAUUGCACAAUGGGCGGAAGCCUGAUGCAGCAACGCCGCGUGCGGGAUGACGGCCUUCGGGUUGUGAACCGCUUUCGACUGUGACGAAGCGUGAGUGACGGUAAUGGGUAAAGAAGCACCGGCUAACUACGUG
rnacentral:rRNA from 1 species